UACAGAGGGUGCAAGCGUUGUUCGGAUUUACUGGGCGUAAAGGGCGCGUAGGCGGCGUAACAAGUCACUUGUGAAAUCUCCGGGCUUAACCUGGAGCGGCCAAGUGAUACUGUUGUGCUAGAGUGCGGAAGGGGCUACUGGAAUUCUCGGUGUAGCGGUGAAAUGCGUAGAUAUCGAGAGGAACACCUGCGGCGAAGGCGGGUUGCUGGGCUGAUACUGACGCUGAGGCGCGAAAGCCAGGGGAGCGAACGGG
rnacentral:rRNA from 1 species